UACGAAGGGGGCUAGCGUUGCUCGGAAUUACUGGGCGUAAAGGGCGCGUAGGCGGAUAUUUAAGUCGGGGGUGAAAGCCCGGGGCUCAACCUCGGAAUUGCCUUCGAUACUGGAUAUCUUGAGUUCGGGAGAGGUGAGUGGAAUGCCGAGUGUAGAGGUGAAAUUCGUAGAUAUUCGGCGGAACACCAGUGGCGAAGGCGACUCACUGGCCCGAUACUGACGCUGAGGCGCGAAAGCCAGGGGAGCGAACGGG
rnacentral:rRNA from 1 species